UGGGGAAUAUUGCGCAAUGGGCGAAAGCCUGACGCAGCGACGCCGCGUGAGGGACGAAGGCCUUCGGGUCGUAAACCUCUUUCAGCAGGGAAGAAGCGCAAGUGACGGUACCUGCAGAAGAAGCACCGGCUAACUACGUGCCAGCAGCCGCGGUAAUACGUAGGGUGCAAGCGUUGUCCGGAAUUAUUGGGCGUAAAGAGCUCGUAGGCGGCUUGUCACGUCUGCUGUGAAAACUCGGGGCUCAACCCCGAGCCUGCAGUGGAUACGGGCUAGCUAGAGUGCGGUAGGGGAGACUGGAAUUCCUGGUGUAGCGGUGAAAUGCGCAGAUAUCAGGAGGAACACCGGUGGCGAAGGCGGGUCUCUGGACCGAUACUGACGCUGAGGAGCGAAAGCGUGGGGAGCGAACAGGAUUAGAUACCCCCGUAGUCC
rnacentral:rRNA from 1 species